rnacentral:rRNA from 1 species
CAGUCGCCGCGGGAAAACGGAGGGUGCAAGCGUUAAUCGGAAUUACUGGGCGUAAAGCGCACGCAGGCGGUUUGUUAAGACAGAUGUGAAAUCCCCGAGCUUAACUUGGGAACUGCAUUUGUGACUGUAUAGCUAGAGUACGGCAGAGGGGGAUGGAAUUCCGCGUGUAGCAGUGAAAUGCGUAGAUAUGCGGAGGAACACCGAUGGCGAAGGCAAUCCCCUGGGCCUGUACUGACGCUCAUGCACGAAAGCGUGGGGAGCAAACAGGAUUAGAUACCCCCGUAGUCCCUGUCUCUUAUAC